UACCCGCUGAACUUAAGCAUAUCAAUAAGCGGAGGAAAAGAAACCAACAGGGAUUACCUCAGUAACGGCGAGUGAAGCGGUAAAAGCUCAAAUUUGAAAUCUUCGGAAUUGUAAUUUGAUGGAUAAAAUUGCCAAGGACAAAAGUUCACUGGAAAGUGACGCCGUAGAGGGUGAUAGCCCCGUUUACGUCCACCGGCACUAUNAUUUUAUUCCAAAGAGUCGGGUUGUUUGGGAAUGCAGCUCAAAGUGGGUGGUAAAUUCCAUCUAAAGCUAAAUAUUGACGAGAGACCGAUAGCGAACAAGUACAGUGAUGGAAAGAUGAAAAGAACUUUGAAAAGAGAGUGAAACAGUACGUGAAAUUGUUGAAAGGGAAGGGGAGGGAAGAUGUUAAAGGGACUCCUUUCUUAGCAAGGGAUCCCCCUAAAGAGUCUUUCCUCUCGCCCGUCUUGAAACACGGACCAAGGAGUCUAACGAUUAUGCAAGUAUUUGAGUCAACCCCCAAAUGCGUAAUGAAAGUAAUUGGUCAACCCUACCCUCCUGUCCUAAAGGGCGGGAGAGGAAGCAUAAUUAUUAGGACCCGAAAGAUGGUGAACUAUACCUGGAUAGGGUGAAGCCAGAGGAAACUCUGGUGGAAGCUCGUAGCGGUUCUGACGUGCAAAUCG
rnacentral:rRNA from 1 species